rnacentral:rRNA from 1 species
GAUGAACGCUGGCGGCGUGCCUAAUACAUGCAAGUCGAGCGAACAGAUAAGGAGCUUGCUCCUUUGACGUUAGCGGCGGACGGGUGAGUAACACGUGGGUAACCUACCUAUAAGACUGGGAUAACUUCGGGAAACCGGAGCUAAUACCGGAUAAUAUUUCGAACCGCAUGGUUCGAUAGUGAAAGAUGGUUUUGCUAUCACUUAUAGAUGGACCCGCGCCGUAUUAGCUAGUUGGUAAGGUAACGGCUUACCAAGGCGACGAUACGUAGCCGACCUGAGAGGGUGAACGGCCACAUUGGGACUGAGACACGGCCCAA